UGAUAAAGGACUCUAGAAUUCAAAAAAACGGAAUAAGGCACUAAAUUAUUAGAAAUUGAAACAAACAAAACAGUAAAGAAGCAAUAGCCUAGGUGAAAAUUCAAUAAUUUAGGGUGUGUAGUGAACCCUAAUUGUGCUACACCAAAUUUGCCUCCUCUUUUAUUUUAUUUUUUUAUUUUUUUAAUUUUGUGGUUGAUCCGUAAGUUGCUGGUCUAAUUUUAUUUUUUAAACUGGCUUAUGUGUUGCUUGGUUGCUGAGAAAAUUGUGGAAAACAAAGGGAAAGGAAGUGCCACGCCUAGAUCUAUUUAUUUAUUUGUUUAUUUAUUAUUUUCUGGCAUGUAUGGAUAUUUGGAUGUUGAAGUAAACAACAGUACAGAAGCCAUAGA
rnacentral:misc_RNA from 1 species